rnacentral:piRNA from 1 species
UGAAGCUUGAUAGGUACUUGAAGAUUCCUG